rnacentral:rRNA from 1 species
ACGGUCCUAAGGUAGCGAAAUUCCUUGUCAGGUAAGUUCUGACCCGCACGAAAGGUGUAACGAUUUGGGCGCUGUCUCGGCAGCAGACUCGGUGAAAUCUUAGUACCUGUGAAAAUGCAGGUUACCCGCAACUAGACGGAAAGACCCCAUGGAGCUUUACUGCAGCCUGAUAUUGAAUUCUGGUCAUACAUGUACAGGAUAGGUGGGAGACAAAGAGACGUGCACGCCAGUGUACGAGGAGUCGACGUUGGGAUACCACUCUUGUGUGACCGGGGUUCUAACCUGGUAUCGAGAACAGGUACGGGGAGAGUGUCAGGUGGGCAGUUUGACUGGGGCGGUCGCCUCCCAAAGAGUAACGGAGGCGCCCAAAGGUACGCUCAGAUUGGAUGGAAACCAAUCGUCGAGUGUAAUUGCAGAAGCGUGCUUGACUGUGAGACUUACAAGUCGAACAGGGACGAAAGUCGGGAAUAGUGAUCCGGCGGUGCCGAAUGGAAGGGCCGUCGCUCAACGGAUAAAAGCUACCCUGGGGAUAACAGGCUGAUCUCGCCCAAGAGUUCACAUCGACGGCGAGGUUUGGCACCUCGAUGUCGGCUCAUCGCAUCCUGGAGCUGGAUUCGGUUCCAAGGGUUGGGCUGUCCGCCCAUUAAAGCGGUACGCGAGCUGGGUUCAGAACGUCGUGAGACAGUUCGGUCCCUAUCUGUUGUGGGCGAAGGAGAUCUGCGGAGAGCUGUCCUCAGUACGAGAGGACCGGGAUGGACCUACCGCUGGUGCACCGGUUGUUCCGCCAGGGGCAUAGCCGGGUAGCUAAGUAGGGAAAGGAUAAGCGCUGAAAGCAUCUAAGCACGAAGCCUACUCCAAGAUGAGAUCUCCCAUUCGCAAGAAGUAAGACCCCUUAAAGACGAUAAGGUAGAUAGGCCAGAGAUGGAAGUGCAGUGAUGUACGGAGUUGACUGGUACUAAUCGGUCGAGGACUUAAUCAG